CGGGUAGCGGAACACGUACGCAACCUUCCUUUAACUGGAGAAUAGCCCCUCGAAAGAGGGAUUAAUACUCCGUAACAUGAUGACAAGGCAUCUUAUUAUUAUUAUAGCUCCGGCGGUUAGAGAUGGGCGUGCGCCUGAUUAGGUAGUUGGCGGGGUAACGGCCCACCAAGCCUGCGAUCAGUAACUGGUGUGAGAGCACGACCAGUCACACGGGCACUGAGACACGGGCCCG
rnacentral:rRNA from 1 species